UCUCUGGUAACUCAGACGGUAAAGUGUCUGCCUGCAACGCGGGAGACCCAGGUUCAGUCCCUGGAUGGGGAA
rnacentral:tRNA from 1 species